rnacentral:rRNA from 1 species
UCGAGCGAGAAGCCCGCAAGGGUGAGUAAAGCGGCGCACGGGUGAGUAACACGUGGGUAAUCUUCCUUGGAGCCCGGAAUAACUCCCCGAAAGGGGUGCUAAUGCCGGAUGAGACCACGGGAUCUCCGGAUCCUGAGGGAAAAGGCGGCCUCUGUACACAAGCUGUCACUCCAAGAUGAGCCCGCGGCCCAUCAGCUAGUUGGCGGGGUAAUGGCCCACCAAGGCAUCGACGGGUAGCUGGUCUGAGAGGACGAUCAGCCACACUGGAACUGAGACACGGUCCAGACUCCUACGGGAGGCAGCAGUGGGGAAUUUUGCGCAAUGGGCGAAAGCCUGACGCAGCAACGCCGCGUGUGUGAUGAAGGUCUUCGGAUCGUAAAGCACUGUCGGGAGGGACGAAUAAGGCGGCGGCUAAUAUCCGCGGCCGAUGACGGUACCUCCAAAGGAAGCACCGGCUAACUCUGUGCCAGCAGCCGCGGUAAUACAGAGGGUGCAAGCGUUGUUCGGAAUUAUUGGGCGUAAAGCGCGUGUAGGCGGCCUUGCAAGUUGGGUGUGAAAGCCCUCGGCUUAACCGAGGAAGUGCGCCCAAAACUACAGGGCUUGAGUACCGGAGAGGGUGGCGGAAUUCCCGGUGUAGAGGUGAAAUUCGUAGAUAUCGGGAGGAACACCAGUGGCGAAGGCGGCCACCUGGACGGAUACUGACGCU